AGCAGCCGCGGUAAUUCCAGCUCCAAUAGCGUAUAUUAAAGUUGUUGCAGUUAAAAAGACUCGUAGUUGAAUUUCGGGAUCAAUUAGUCGGUCGUGCCUCUGGUACGUACUGGUUUUAUUGGUUCCUCCCUUCUGACGAAACAUGAUGUCAUUAAUUUGGUGUCGUGGAGAAUCAGGACUGUUACCUUGAAAAAAUUAGAGUGUUUAUAGCAGGCUAACGCUUGAAUACAUUAGCAUGGAAUAAUGAAAUAGGACGUUCGACCCUAUUUUGUUGGUUUCUAGGAUCGACGUAAUGAUUAAUAGGGAUAGUUGGGGGCAUUAGUAUUCAAUUGUCAGAGGUGAAAUUCUUGGAUUUAUUGAAGACUAACUACUGCGAAAGCAUUUGCCAAGGAUGUUUUCAUUAAUCAAGAACGAAAGUUAGGGGAUCGAAGACGAUCAGAUACCGUCGUAGUCUUAACCAUAAACUAUGCCGACUAGGGAUCGGAUGAUGUUAAUUUUUUAAAUGACUCAUUCGGCGCCU
rnacentral:rRNA from 1 species